UACGGAGGGUGCAAGCGUUAUCCGGAUUUACUGGGUUUAAAGGGUGCGCAGGCGGAUAUGUAAGUCAGUGGUGAAAUCUCCGGGCUUAACCCGGAAACUGCCGUUGAUACUAUAUAUCUUGAAUGCUGUGGAGGUAAGCAGAAUAUGUCAUGUAGCGGUGAAAUGCUUAGAUAUGACAUAGAAUACCUAUUGCGAAGGCAGCUUACUACACAGAUAUUGACGCUCAUGCACGAAAGCGUGGGGGGCGAACAGG
rnacentral:rRNA from 1 species